GACAGAGGAUGCAAGCGUUAUCCGGAAUGAUUGGGCGUAAAGCGUCUGUAGGUGGCUUUUUAAGUCCGCCGUCAAAUCCCAGGGCUCAACCCUGGACAGGCGGUGGAAACUACCAAGCUGGAGUAUGGUAGGGGUAGAGGGAAUUUCCAGUGGAGCGGUGAAAUGCGUAGAUAUUGGAAAGACCACCAAUGGCGAAGGCACUCUACUGGGCCAUUACUGACACUGAGAGACGAAAGCUAGGGGAGCAAAUGGG
rnacentral:rRNA from 1 species